rnacentral:rRNA from 1 species
AUGUGACAUACCUACUGUUGCUUCGGCGGGAUUGCCCCGGGCGCCUCGUGUGCCCCGGAUCAGGCGCCCGCCUAGGAAACUUAAUUCUUGUUUUAUUUUGGAAUCUUCUGAGUAGUUUUUACAAAUAAAUAAAAACUUUCAACAACGGAUCUCUUGGUUCUGGCAUCGAUGAAGAACGCAGCGAAAUGCGAUAAGUAAUGUGAAUUGCAGAAUUCAGUGAAUCAUCGAAUCUUUGAACGCACAUUGCGCCCGCCAGUAUUCUGGCGGGCAUGCCUGUCUGAGCGUCAUUUCAACCCUCAUGCCCCUAGGGCGUGGUGUUGGGGAUCGGCCAAAGCCCGCGAGGGACGGCCGGCCCCUAAAUCUAGUGGCGGACCCGUCGUGGCCUCCUCUGCGAAGUAGUGAUAUUCCGCAUCGGAGAGCGACGAGCCCCUGCCGUUAAACCCCCAACUUUCCAAGGUUGACCUCAGAUCAGGUAGGAAUACCCGCUGAACUUAAGCAUAUCAAUAAGCGGGGAA